rnacentral:rRNA from 1 species
UACAGAGGGUGCGAGCGUUGUCCGGAAUCACUGGGCGUAAAGGGCGCGUAGGCGGCUUGAUAAGCGUGCGGUGAAAGCCCGGGGCUCAACCCCGGGUCGGCCGUGCGAACUGUCGAGCUGGAGCACUGUAGAGGCAGGUGGAAUUCCGGGUGUAGCGGUGGAAUGCGUAGAGAUCCGGAAGAACACCGGUGGCGAAGGCGGCCUGCUGGGCAGCGGCUGACGCUGAGGCGCGACAGCGUGGGGAGCAAACAGG